rnacentral:rRNA from 1 species
AACGCUAGCUACAGGCUUAACACAUGCAAGUCGAGGGGCAUCAGGAAGAAAGCUUGCUUUCUUUGCUGGCGACCGGCGCACGGGUGAGUAACACGUAUCCAACCUGCCCUUUACUCGGGGAUAGCCUUUCGAAAGAAAGAUUAAUACCCGAUAGCAUAAUGAUUCCGCAUGGUUUCAUUAUUAAAGGAUUCCGGUAAAGGAUGGGGAUGCGUUCCAUUAGGUUGUUGGUGAGGUAACGGCUCACCAAGCCUUCGAUGGAUAGGGGUUCUGAGAGGAAGGUCCCCCACAUUGGAACUGAGACACGGUCCAAACUCCUACGGGAGGCAGCAGUGAGGGAUAUUGGUCAAUGGGCGGUAGCCUGAACCAGCCAAGUAGCGUGAAGGAUGAAGGCUCUAUGGGUCGUAAACUUCUUUUAUAUAAGAAUAAAGUGCAGUAUGUAUACCGUUUUGUAUGUAUUAUAUGAAUAAGGAUCGGCUAACUCCGUGCCAGCAGCCGCGGUAAUACGGAGGAUCCGGGCGUUAUCCGGAUUUAUUGGGUUUAAAGGGAGCGUAGGUGGACUGGUAAGUCAGUUGUGAAAGUUUGCGGCUCAACCGUAAAAUUGCAGUUGAUACUGUCAGUCUUGAGUACAGUAGAGGUGGGCGGAAUUCGUGGUGUAGCGGUGAAAUGCUUAGAUAUCACGAAGAACUCCGAUUG